rfam:Oryza glumipatula chromosome 4, whole genome shotgun sequence.
CCUCCAUCAAACCCUAGUUUCCGUAUCCAACGUUUGACCGUUCGUAUUAUUUAAAAAAAUUAAAAAGAUAAGUCACGCAUAAAGUAUUAAUCAUGUUUUAUCAUCUAACAACAAUGAAAAUACUAAUUAUAAAAAAAUUCAUAUAAUACGGACAGUCAAACGUUGACACCUUGGCACGAAAAUCAGGGUUUGCCUUUAUU